GUAGAGAUGGGGUUUCACCAUGUUGGCCAGGAUGGUCUUGAUCUCCUGACCUGAGGUAAUCCACCUGCAUUAGCCUGACAAAGUGCUGGGAU